GCUAAUGGCAAAAAUAUGUUGUCCGGCUCCUGCAGACUUCUAUGUGAGAGACAUAUUAGGAACAAAUUGGUAUAAUGUCCUAAAUAAAAAGUCAAAAUAUUUGUUUUGAGGGAAGAAAUAAGCUCUCCAAUGUAACUCAGGGCUCAUCGUGUCGAAGAAAACCGUUUCGAUAUCCGGCUAUGUGAACAAGGCCUGAAGCAGAGAUGCAAUGUCAGCCUUGUGGUCAUUAUUUCAUGAUGUUGAAAAGGUUUUUGAUUAAUUUGAUCUCGAGGGGUCGAUGUGACACCCCUAGACUUACUAUUUCCAGUUCUGCCAGAUGAGUUGAAAGCGAAGCUUCAAGGAUUUUUGUCAGCAGAAAGAGAAGGAAGAAGUUCAAACCACCGCUCCUAUCAAUCAUAAUGGGCACGGGUCGUAUCCCCUACUCCAACAUCUUUCUGCCUGACUGACUAAACAUUCAACCAGACAGAUUUAAAGAGGAAGCAAAUGAGCUGGAUUAGCAGUGCUUGCCAACAACUCAGGGUGAAUUCAGGACAUGUUAAAUUAAGCUGUUAGCAACAAACAGCAACAGUCUUCAAUUAGAGACCUCAAGAGCCGUUGCAAGACUGACUGCUACUG